UACAAGUCCGCUAGAGGGAUGCAUCAUUUUUGCCUAAACAGAUGAUUUGAAGCAAGGUUAAAGCGUUAGACUAAAAGAGACCCUACUGUAUGAAGACAAUGAAAGAGCUUCCAUUUUAAUUUUAAUUUCAAUUGUUUCAUCUCACCAUUAAAGUCAUCAGCAACCAUCAUGUCAGUUAUAGAGAUCCUAGCCUUUAUAUUUGUAUUUGUAUUGUCAUGUGCUAUAUAUGCAGGAGUACCUCAAUGCUGCUGGCAUCAAUUUUUACAGCACUGGUGGCUAGGCAAAAGUAAAAUUCAGCGACUGCACAAUGCAUUCAAAAACAAGCACAUAGACUCAUUCAAUAACGCUUUAAUAAAAGGAAAUUUACCUCCCGGUAAAAAUCCAAAGAGCCUGACAAAGAAACAACAAGAAGAUUUAGAUGAGCAAUUCGCCAAAUAUUAUAAAAAAGAUCCUAAAAAAUUACCUGGUACUAUCACGAUUUUUUCAAGGAGACCAUCUUUUGACGAAUACAAGCAUUUUUUCAGUAACUGCUGGUACACCGAAAAUGAUGUUACAUUUUAUGACUACAAUCGAAAAGAGAGGAAAAUUUUCAAGCGUAAACAAAGAUUGUUUGUGGGUUUCGCACAUCUUGAAGGGAAACCAUUAGAAGUUCACGUGUUCGAUCAAAAUUGUUAUUGGUGGCUCCUGUUUUUGUACACGAAAUUCACGUUUUUCCUAAAUUUUAUAUGGUCCUGUAUCAAUAUGUUAUAUUCCCUAUCUAUACGCAUUUUAAGUAGAUGCCGAAGUUAGCCGAUGCAGUCAGUCAGUCAGUCAGUCGAUAAAAUUUCGACCAAGUCUAAGUCGAUACACUCGACUAUCGACUAAGUUGACUCAAUAGCAUGAGAUCAAAAAACAAUGUAUUCAGUUUCUGAAAGGCUGGGCAAAAUCAUAAAUUCGUUGAAAUUUCUGUAUUCUUCUCAAAAUAAAAACUGAAAACAGUGA